UUCGCAAUGCCCGAAAGGGUGACGAAGCGACGCCGCGUGUGGGAAGAAGGCCUUCGGGUUGUAAACCACUGUCGGGAGUUAAGAAAUGUAAGGAUGUUAAUAGCGUCCUUACUUGACUAAGGCUCCAGAGGAAGCCACGGCUAACUCUGUGCCAGCAGCCGCGGUAAUACAGAGGCGGCAAGCGUUGUUCGGAAUUAUUGGGCGUAAAGAGCACGUAGGCGGCCCUGCAAGUCAGCUGUGAAAUCCUUCUGCUCAACGGAAGAACGGCAGUUGAUACUACAGGGCUCGAGUGCGGGAGGGGAGAGUGGAACUUCUGGUGGAGCGGUGAAAUGCGUAGAUAUCAGAAGGAACAUCGGCGGCGAAAGCGACUCUCUGGUCCGAAACUGACGCUGAGUGUGCGAAAGCUAGGGGAUCAAACGGGAUUAGAUACCCCGGUAGUCCUAGCCGUAAACGAUGGGCACUAAGUAGAGGGGUUUU
rnacentral:rRNA from 1 species